CCUACGGGUGGCUGCAGUGGGGAAUAUUGGACAAUGGGCGAAAGCCUGAUCCAGCCAUGCCGCGUGUGUGAAGAAGGCCUUCGGGUUGUAAAGCACUUUCAGUGGGGAAGAAAGCCUUGGGGCUAAUACCCUCGAGGAAGGACAUCACCCACAGAAGAAGCACCGGCUAACUCCGUGCCAGCAGCCGCGGUAAUACGGAGGGUGCGAGCGUUAAUCGGAAUUACUGGGCGUAAAGCGCGCGUAGGCGGUCUGAUAAGCCGGUUGUGAAAGCCCCGGGCUCAACCUGGGAACGGCAUCCGGAACUGUCAGGCUAGAGUGCAGGAGAGGAAGGUAGAAUUCCCGGUGUAGCGGUGAAAUGCGUAGAGAUCGGGAGGAAGACCAGUGGCGAAGGCGGCCUUCUGGACUGACACUGACGCUGAGGUGCGAAAGCGUGGGUAGCAAACAGGAUUAGAUACCCUAGUAGUC
rnacentral:rRNA from 1 species